ACUUAUGUAGUUUAUUUUAAAAUAUUGAUUUGUGGUGUCAAUGAUAUAAUUAUUUUAUCUUAAGUU
rnacentral:tRNA from 1 species